GAUGAACGCUAGCGGCAGGCCUAAUACAUGCAAGUCGGACGGGAUUCAGGAGCUUGCUUCUGAUGAGAGUGGCGCACGGGUGCGUAACACGUAUGUAACCUACCUUUAUCAGGGGGAUAGCCUCUCGAAAGAGAGAUUAAGCCCGCAUAAAAUCACAGCACAGCAUUGUGUAAUGAUCAAAUAUUUAUAGGAUAAAGAUGGGCAUGCGGAACAUUAGCUAGAUGGCGGGGUAACGGCCCACCAUGGCGACGAUGUUUAGGGGAUCUGAGAGGAUGGCCCCCCACGCUGGUACUGAGACACGGACCAGACUCCUACGGGAGGCAGCAGUAAGGAAUAUUGGUCAAUGGGCGGAAGCCUGAACCAGCCAUGCCGCGUGCAGGAAGACGGCCCUACGGGUUGUAAACUGCUUUUAUACGGGAAUAAACCCAGAUACGUGUAUCUGGCUGAAUGUACUGUAAGAAUAAGGAUCGGCUAACUCCGUG
rnacentral:rRNA from 1 species